UACGGAGGGUGCGAGCGUUGUCCGGAAUCAUUGGGCGUAAAGGGCGCGUAGGUGGCGGGACAAGCGUGCGGUGAAAGCUCGGGGCUCAACCCCGAGUCGGCCGUGCGAACUGUUUUGCUUGAGCACUGUAGAGGCAGGCGGAAUUCCUGGUGUAGCGGUGAAAUGCGCAGAUAUCAGGAGGAACACCGAUGGCGAAGGCAGGUCUCUGGGCAUUAACUGACGCUGAGGAGCGAAAGCAUGGGGAGCGAACAGG
rnacentral:rRNA from 1 species